CCGACAGCAUUUGGUUUUGAACUUCCAAAAGAUGUGAAACGGCUUUUUUUCAAAUCUAGGAUUCUCUUCCGCAUACGCAAUCUCAACAAGUGGUUGAAAAUCAAGAAAGGGAAACAGAGGAUAAUGGGUUACAAAGGUUGAUUAAAAAUUUUCUUUGAAUAGCUCAAAUAAAGCAGAUGUUCAGUAAAGUAUUAACAAGUGAAAACACGGAAACUGUCCGUCGAAUAACUGCAGUAAAGUCCACAAGAAUUGGCAAUAAUUUUAUCUGGUGGAGGUUUAUAUACUGCUGCAUUGAAGCUGCUUACUGGCUUCGGAUUAUCACCUCUUCUCAUAUGGGUACGCCACAUUACCAAGGAAGCGCCAAUGAAGCAUGAGCGUGGUCACAGGAAAGUGAAAUGGCUGAUUUGCUUCAUCGCAAUAAAGCAACCAAUCUGGCCCGAUCACUGUUACAAAAGCUCAUUUAUGAUCCUGAGUUAGAAAAUUCUACUAGCGUAUGUAAACAUAUAGCAAACAAGCUGCUAAGUCUCAACGCUUUUAUACCACAAUGGCUAUAUAAUGAC